rnacentral:rRNA from 1 species
AGCUCCAAUAGCAUAUAUUAAAGUUGUUGCAGUUAAAAAGCUUGUAGUUGGAUUUCUGGUGGGAGCAUGGGUCGGCCCUCACAGGUUGUAUUGUUGUUGUGUCCUGCCGUUUCAGAGGGAAUGGCCUCACUAUUAAGUUAAUGUUGUUGGGAACUCUGUUGUUUACUGUCAAAAAAUUAGAGUGUUCAAAGCAGGCCUUUGCUGUGAAUACAUUAGCAUGGAAUAAUAAGAUAAGGACUGUAGUGCUAUUUUGUUGGUUUGCAUACUAUGGUAAUGAUUAAUAGGGAUAGUUGGGGGUAUUCAUAUUCAAUUGUCAGAGGUGAAAUUCUUGGAUUUAUGGAAGAUGAACUACUGCAAAAGCAUUUACCAAGGAUGUUUUCA